GAUGAAGAACGUAGCGAAAUGCGAUACGUAAUGUGAAUUGCAGAAUUCAGUGAAUCAUCGAGUCUUUGAACGCACAUUGCGCCCCCUGGUAUUCCGGGUGGCAUGCCUGUCCGAGCGUCAUUGCUGCCCUCAAGCACGGCUUGUGUGUUGGGCCUCCGUCCUCCUCCCGGGGGACGGGCCCGAAAGGCAGCGGCGGCACCGCGUCCGGUCCUCGAGCGUAUGGGGCUUCGUCACCCGCUCUUGUAGGCCCGGCCGGCGCUUGCCGACACAUCAAUCUUUUUUCCAGGUUGACCUCGGAUCAGGUAGGGAUACCCGCUGAACUUAAGCAUAUCAAUAAGCGGAGGA
rnacentral:misc_RNA from 1 species